UACGAAGGGGGCUAGCGUUGCUCGGAAUCACUGGGCGUAAAGCGCACGUAGGCGGCUUUUUAAGUCAGGGGUGAAAUCCUGGAGCUCAACUCCAGAACUGCCUUUGAUACUGAGAAGCUUGAGUCCGGGAGAGGUGAGUGGAACUCCUAGUGUAGAGGUGAAAUUCGUAGAUAUUAGGAAGAACACCAGUGGCGAAGGCGGCUCACUGGCCCGGAACUGACGCUGAGGUACGAAAGCGUGGGGAGCAAACAGG
rnacentral:rRNA from 1 species